UACGGAGGGGGCUAGCGUUGUUCGGAAUUACUGGGCGUAAAGCGCACGUAGGCGGCUUUGUAAGUUAGAGGUGAAAGCCCGGGGCUCAACCCCGGAACUGCCUUUAAGACUGCAUCGCUUGAACAUCGGAGAGGUGAGUGGAAUUCCGAGUGUAGAGGUGAAAUUCGUAGAUAUUCGGAAGAACACCAGUGGCGAAGGCGGCUCACUGGACGAUUGUUGACGC
rnacentral:rRNA from 1 species